GACGAACGCUGGCGGCGUGCCUAAUACAUGCAAGUCGAACGCUGAAGGAGGAGCUUGCUCUUCUGGAUGAGUUGCGAACGGGUGAGUAACGCGUAGGUAACCUGCCUGGUAGCGGGGGAUAACUAUUGGAAACGAUAGCUAAUACCGCAUAACAGUAGAUGUUGCAUGACAUUUACUUAAAAGGUGCAAUUGCAUCACUACCAGAUGGACCUGCGUUGUAUUAGCUAGUUGGUGGGGUAACGGCUCACCAAGGCGACGAUACAUAGCCGACCUGAGAGGGGGGACGGCCACACUGGGACUGAGACACGGCCCAGGCUCCUACGGGAGGCAGCAGUAGGGAAUCUUCGGCAAUGGACGGAAGUCUGACCGGGCAACGCCGCGUGAGUGAAGAAGGUUUUCGGAUCGUAAAGCUCUGUUGUAAGAGAAGAACGAGUGUGAGAGUGGAAAGUUCACACUGUGACGGUAUCUUACCAGAAAGAGACGGCUAACUACGUG
rnacentral:rRNA from 1 species